AGAGUUGAUGGUUUGUCCAGGUUCCAGGAAAUCCAGAAGAAUCACCUCUUUCCUAUCCCCAGAGACAAUGCAUAUCACCUUACCCACUGAGGGCUGUAUCUUGAACUUCUUCUUCUAUGAGGAAUUCACAUGUCACCACUCCAUGGACUGCUGUUUUGACUCUGGCUCACAAUGACGACAUCACAUCUCAUCACCAGUAAUGAUAUGCUCCAGGAAACUGUCACUUUUAGCCUUGUAUUGGUUCAGUAGGUCCUAAAAAAAUCUUGCAUACAGUGUUUUUUCUGUUCCUGUGUGAGCACUCAUGGGACCUAAUUGGUGCAAACUUUGUGAUAUUCCAACAUUGCCGUCAUCAUUUCAAAAGCACUGAAUCCAAUAUUCAUAUCCGUACACAGUUUCCUGGUUGUAAUCUUCCAAUUUACACAGAUGAGGUAAUUGAGACGCUCUUCAUUUCACAGUAUGACAGCUGUUCACUGCCGUCUGGAAUGUGGCUUGUCUUUCACAUCACUGUUGCCAUUGCUGAAACAACACCCACUGCUUCACUGCACUCACAUCCACUGUUUGGUCUCCAAAAAUGUUCAGCAAGUGUCACUGAGUGGCAAUGGUUGCCAUUUUUUCCCCAUGGAGGAAUUCAGUGAUGUACCUUUGUUCCAUAUGCUCUUCCAUGUCAGACACUAUUGUGUCAGACUGCCCCUCUGUUGCCAUCUGUCACACAGCAAUAAAAUGUAAUGGAAUAUUGGUGGGAAGGUUCAACCUCUACUGCCAUACUGCCAACAGGUGCCUCUGAUGUCAUGGGCCAAUGUAAUAAAAUAGGAGGCAUUACUUUUGGAGCAGCCCUUGUAGAAUCACAUGAAAACUCCUGACAUGAAUCAAAAAGUGAAUAUCAGGUUCUGAAAAAACAAGCAACAGUUGGGCCAUCAGUGUUUAUUCGCUCUUUUUGGAACGUUUGGCCCUAAUACAAAGCUAUCUUUCAGCAGAGUCUGGUACAAAAGCAAGUAUGACAGAUUUAGCAGCAGCAUAAUGCAACACUUUGCUGCUGAGAUGUGACCAUUUGCCAGAAACACUCUUUUCUAUAACGUUAAUGGACACUUCUUAGCAGAGUUACAGUUGUUGGUGACAACUCACACACAGAUCCUUCAGGUCUACCUGGCACUGACCUAGGAUGGUCUCCAAGGCUCACUUUGUCAAAUAUCUUUUAAUUAAUAGUGCUUUAAUAAAUUAUGGCAAAAUGAUGUCUUGGUAAAUAUAAAUAAAUAACCAAAGUAGCCAGGAAUCUUGGUUUGAAGUAUGGGAGUUUUAUUUGUUUUAGCUAUAGAGUAUUAAAAACUCAAACAACCCUGUUUUAUGUGAUAGUUUCUGUAAUAUCCCAGCUGUCAGCAAUUAAUUCUUCAAAAUCUGCUGACAUGUUGAAAGCUUUUUCUAAUGAAGUAUUGGGGUCAGUGCUAACUUGUUCCUACAGCCGUGAACAACAAGUGAAAAAAUCUCUCGCUCAGACCCAGUCUGUAGCGUGACUCAUUGCGCCUUCACAUUUCCCAGCUGCUGGAAGCAGGAGUGAAGGGCAGGCUCAUUCUUCAAGACAGGAGCUCAGCACACCGGUUUGCAAAGGCUGAUGACCGGUUCUUUCUAGUGAUUUUUGUGCUGAUAUCGGGCUCCGCGGUAUUCAUGUCAGCUGGCAGCCAGGGUGGGUGGGAGAGAAGUGUAAGUAGAGCUGCUCCGGGUUACAGAGUAAACAGAGGGUAAGCAGAGGCCUGACCACUCUGCCUCUCAGCUGGAGCCAGGCUGAUUGCUGAAACCAUUAGAGCUGCAGCCCUGGCAGCAGGCGGCUCUUCAGCCUCCAGGCCACCAUAAAACAGGAGCUCCUUUUUUCCACAAGAAGAAAAGGCUAGUGUCUCUGAAGCAAGCACUUUACCACAUGGGCCUUUUGGUGGAGAGAGAAAGCCUGACACUGUACUUCAGAAAGGAGUGGGGGCUGGGGUGGUUGUGGAGCGAAAAACCUGCUCUUUUUCGGUGCUGGUGUACAGCCUUCUUAUUUGUCAGGGAAACAAAAACAGGUAACACAAAUAAUGCAGGCAGCACAAGCACAUCAGGUAUGAAAUAUCACUGCCUUAUAGUUUCUUUUCUAAGCAAGCUCUUUCUGCGCAGCUGUGACUCAUAACCACCUCCACUGCAGGACGGUGCUACCUUUUCCAGCCCCAGAUCUCAAGACAUUUCAUGCAGAAUCAUAGAAUCAUAGAAUCACUCAGGUUGGAAAAGACCUUAAAGAUCAUUGAGUCCAACCACAACCUAACCAUACGACCCUAACUCUAACGACCCUCUG
ensembl:lncRNA